UGCAUAUUGCACCAUGUGUAACGGUACCACUGCUCUAAGGCUGGGUAUGAGUGAGUUCACAUAGCCUGAGCAAAUAGCCAUUGCUGCAACUUGUAAGUGUCUCAUCUUAUGUGAUCAACUAGCAAGAGCUGAGUCUACAUCAUGCUUUAGGUUCAUGCUUCCAAUCAUCGCUAUUAAAUGUAAAAACAGGAUGUUGUUGUUAGAGACAUAAUUAUUAAUUUGCUAAGAAAUACAUAAAUUCGUAUUCAGGAAUCGUGGUUACAUGGGUGACCUUCAACCAGACCUCACAAGUGCAGUAUGGUAUCCAUAGCGACAAGACGGACCUGUCCAAGACUGUGACGGGAGAUACCACAAAGUUUGUAGUGGGAGACGUGACUCACUUCAUUCACAGGACCACUCUCAGCAAUCUGGUUCCACUAGCAAAGUACGGUGUACAAUGGCUCCACGUACAGUAUUAACCGAGCCCCCUAAAGACUACAGAUGUGGCUCCCCUGCCAACUUGAGUCAGGUGCUCACUCUGAGAACCCUGGGAGACCAAACCUCUCCCCCUACGCUGGCCGACAUUCUAUGGUAACUUUGGACUGGAGAAUGCUCGCUCACUCCCCUGGCUCAUUGACAAUGUUGCUAAAGAACGGUUUGAUGCUGUACUGCAUGCAGGGGACAACUGCAAUGAGGAUAGUAUGUGCAGGAGGAUGGUAGAGUGGAAGAGAUGCUUUAACUCGUUACCCCGCCCCCUCACCUCUGCAGUAACUCCACUCACUACACUCAUCGGUUCAGUAUGCCCGGGAACAAGGAGGGACUCAUGUGCAGGUGGUGACAUGUUUUGUGAUGCCACCUGUUUCUAUGGCGAGUGAUCACGAUGAAGAGUGGGCAGUGGCCGUGUCAGGAAAAGAGAAUAAUAGCAUCUGAAAGCUUAAUGAAUUCUGAAGAUGUACAGACAAGCACAAUCAUCCACUUCCCCUAAGAAUCACACCCGGAGCCUCCCAUCACUCAAAGCCUAUGGAAUCCUAAAAUCGAACUCAAUACACUGUAAAGGCCUCCCUCCACCACACAUAAUGGUGGGAAUCAAUGUGCUAAGGAUCUUUGUUGCCCCUCUCCAUCACAAGUCACAAAGUCAACCGUACCCCCACAAUGACCCCUACAACUAAUUCCGAAGUAACCCCCAAACAAGAAGACUGAGAAAAAAAAACAUCGCUACCCCUAAACCAGCAAAAAAAUCCUUCUAAAACCAUUGUGAAAUACCUUCCCCACGUGCACCUCAGCAGACUCUGCCCACUAUGUCUCUGCCGUCCGUAGUCGUAAGAGGAAGCUUAUACAGCCAACCAGAGCACAAAGAAAGCGAGAAAGAUAAAGAGCUACUCAACCACCAGCUGAUCUGUUUGCCAAGAGAACUACACUACCUUGCAAUUGUAGCAAAUGUAUGCCUUCUGCUUAUAAGUUAAUUAUUUCAAACCACAA